CGUCGACCGGCGCACGGGUGAGUAACGCGUAUCCAACCUGCCCACCACUUGGGGAUAACCUUGCGAAAGUAAGACUAAUACCCAAUGAUAUCUCUAGAAGACAUCUGAAAGAGAUUAAAGGUUUAUCGGUGAUGGAUGGGGAUGCGUCUGAUUAGCUUGUUGGCGGGGUAACGGCCCACCAAGGCAACGAUCAGUAGGGGUUCUGAGAGGAAGGUCCCCCACAUUGGAACUGAGACACGGUCCAA
rnacentral:rRNA from 1 species